UCUCUCUCUCACUCUCACUCUCGCUCUCAUUAUUUUUGUCUCUCUAAAGAAGAAAAGAGAAAUGAAAAGAACUUUACUAAGCAGGGACACCAAAAGGACAUCAGAUCCAAUACCAUGGACAGAUCACGGACGGCUGAAACAAUGGGAGUGCAGUCUGCUCAGAGUCAAGCCACCGCCUUGAUAGUUCUCAGCCAACCAGCACGCCCAAGUUCAAGGCACAUCAAACCAUUUCUCUGUUCCACUGACCAGGCUUUCUCUUUCUGGGAACUCUGCCUUGCCUAUUUGGUGGCAAUAUACAGAUGACCGAUGUCCCUCAUAGGUAUGAGUAAACGUUGGCUGCACUGACAUUUCUACAGACCUCUUGAGCUCCCUAACUCCCUUGCUCCAGCAAUUGCAAUGGCUAUCAGUUUCUCCUUUGCUUUUUAGUUUCCAGGAUUCGGAUGCACCACCAUAUCCUCUGAGUUAGGGACGCGCUUUGUGGGGUCUCAGCUUCUACACCGCAAGCAGGCGCUGGAGGACCACUUCAGCAGCUUUGAGCCUAUCUCUGAGGUGGUUGUUCUCAGGGACCUGGAGACUCAGUGGUCCUGGGGUUUGGGCUUCAUCACCUUCACCAUCCCAGAGCAUGCCUCUGAUGCCAUGAGAGCCAGGCAUGGAGAGCCCCUCGACAGUCGCCAAGUCUGUGUGGACCAUACAGGCCAGUCUGCCCGGACACCCAGAGGGGAUACCUUUGGGGCUCACAGCUACUCUAGAGAGGGUAAGGACCAGGGCUACGGGAGUGACAGUCAGCCUGGAGGAUGUGGUUAUGGACGAUCCAGAGACUCAUCGUGUAGACGUCAGGGCAGGUGUGACUGCUACUCGGGAGGCAAUUACAGAGACAAUUACGGCAGCAGAGGUGAGGCCUGCACAGCUGAUGCAGGUACCCAGGGAAAUACCCAGGGAAUAACACCCAGGACCGUCCUUCCAAAUGGCUGUAUUUACAGAAUUUUUCAGCUGCACCGGAACAUCUGUUUUAGUACAUCAGUGUCUAUUUUUGAAUUGCGCUCCCAGGGAAGAAAGGAAUGUUCUGUGUGUCUCAUACAGUUUUAGAAUGUCCUUCCCGGAAAUGAAGGCUGGGACGAGGACGAGGGGUACGGAGGUCAGAGCUGGCUGGCCACCACACUGCCCACCCACCUCUCCGAGUUCUGUGAGGAACCAGACUGAGGAGAGUCAUCAGAGAGGAAGCAGGAAGGCCCGCCCACGAGAAUGUCUAUGGCACAGAAGAGGAGAGUUUUCAGGAAAAGGAACUGAACUGCAGGAUGAAAUUUAAUGACCAAUAAAUGACUGCUGAAUCGAAUCCAACGUGCCAUUGAUUCGAAGGCCUCCCAGUUUCAGAAAUGGUGCACACGGAACGCCUUAGACUUGACGAACCACAUCAGCCUGUGGGUGGAAAACAAAGCACCGGUCUUGGAAAUUAGAAGAACUGGCGGCCUUGCACAGAGGGCGCGUCAUCAGAUGGCUCGCGGGCCUCUCAUUCUGGGGAAGCCAGGUGACAUUUCACAAGAAUACGCAAGAAUACUCAAGCACACUUUGGGAAGACCACGUGGUGAGCAACUGAGGCUUCUUGCGAACAGCCAUGUGGGUGAGAUGUCUGAAAAUUGAUCUGUAAGCCUCAGCCACGCUCUCAGAUGACUUGUAGCCCCAACUGACAUCUUUUUAAAAGUUCGUUUAUUUUUAAUUUGCCAAAGGAUGCAUGUGCUCAAUGGAGAGAGACAGAG